CCCGGAGCUCGCCCACCUCCCAGCGCCCCGGAGCGCAGGCAAAAGGGGAAGAAAGAUUCCUCUCUUUGGUCGCCACUCUUUCUUGCUCUCUCCAAGAAUUUGUUUAAGGAGACGCUGCAGGAAAAAGACAUCUUGAAUCCUCUGUCGGGGCGGGGUCUGCCGCUGCCCUGCGGUGCAGCCUCAGCGACACUACCCUCCACUAGGACCCCUGACCAGCGGGGUCACGUCCGAGAGACGGAUCAUGAAGCGCUCGGUGGCUGCUUGGCUCCUGGUUGGGCUCAGCCUUGGUGUCCCUCAGUUCUGCAAAGGUGAUAUUUGUGAUCACAAUCCAUGUGAAAAUGGAGGUAUCUGUGUGUCAGGAUUGUCUGAUGAUUCCUUUUCCUGCGAGUGCCCAGAUGGCUUCACAGAUCCCAAUUGUUCUAGUGUUGUGGAGGUUGGUCCCUGCACUCCUAAUCCGUGCCAUAAUGGAGGAACCUGUGAAAUAAGUGAAGCAUACCGAGGGGAUACAUUCAUAGGCUAUGUCUGUAAAUGUCCCCGAGGAUUUAAUGGGAUUCACUGUCAGCACAAUAUUAAUGAAUGUGAAGCUGAGCCUUGCAAAAAUGGUGGAAUAUGCACAGACCUUGUUGCUAACUAUUCCUGUGAGUGCCCAGGAGAAUUCAUGGGAAGAAAUUGUCAAUACAAAUGCUCGGGCCCAUUGGGAAUUGAAGGUGGAAUCAUUUCAAAUCAGCAAAUCACAGCUUCAUCUACCCACCGAGCUCUUUUUGGACUCCAGAAAUGGUAUCCCUACUAUGCACGUCUUAAUAAGAAGGGGCUUAUAAAUGCCUGGACAGCUGCAGAAAAUGACAGAUGGCCAUGGAUUCAGAUAAAUUUACAAAGAAAAAUGAGAGUUACUGGUGUGAUUACUCAAGGAGCCAAGAGGAUUGGAAGCCCAGAGUAUACAAAAUCCUACAAAAUUGCCUAUAGUAAUGAUGGAAAGACUUGGGCAAUGUACACAGUGAAAGGCACCAAUGAGGAUAUGGUGUUCCGUGGAAAUGUUGAUAACAACACACCCUAUGCUAACUCUUUCACGCCCCCCAUAAAAGCUCAGUAUGUGAGACUCUAUCCCCAAGUUUGUCGAAGACACUGCACUUUGAGAAUGGAGCUUCUUGGAUGUGAACUGUCAGGCUGUUCUGAGCCUCUGGGGAUGAAAUCAGGACACAUACAGGACUAUCAGAUCACUGCUUCCAGCAUCUUCAGAACUCUCAAUAUGGACAUGUUCACUUGGGAACCAAGGAAAGCUCGGCUGGACAAGCAGGGCAAAGUGAAUGCCUGGACCUCCGGCCACAAUGACCAGUCACAAUGGUUACAGGUGGAUCUUCUGGUCCCUACCAAAGUGACUGGCAUUAUUACACAAGGAGCUAAAGAUUUUGGUCAUGUGCAAUUUGUAGGCUCCUACAAACUAGCUUACAGCAAUGAUGGAGAACACUGGACAGUAUACCAGGAUGAAAAGCAAAGAAAAGAUAAGGUUUUCCAGGGCAAUUUUGACAAUGAUACCCACAGAAAAAACGUCAUCGACCCUCCUAUCUAUGCACGGCACAUAAGGAUCCUUCCUUGGUCCUGGUAUGGGAGGAUCACGCUGCGGUCUGAGCUGCUGGGCUGCACAGAGGAGGAGUGAGGAGAUCCCACAGCCCACAACCCUCCUCCCUAUUUCCCUAAAAGUAUCUCCACGGAAUGAACUCUGCAAAGUCUAUCGGAAACUGAAUGGAAUUUUUCAUGAAAUUACGCAAAUAUUGACAUAGUGCUGCAUAACUUGGCCAAGCAUAUUCAUCAUUUCUUUGUUCAUCUCUGCACUUCCUGUGAAACUAGAAUUUUAUUGAGGUUUGAAAUUAGUGGUGGUUUCUCAGGAAAGCACAGUGCAUAGACAUUUGUGAGAAGAGAAGUGUUUACUAAUGACAAAAACCAUUUUCAGGGUGAAAAUUGAUUUCUAUCUAUUUUGCUUCAAAGGUCCUGAAAAAAUAAUAAGCAAUUAUCAUAAUGAUUUGUUAUUGAUAAUGAGGUUUCAUUGCCAUUCUCUCAAAUUAAGGCUCACACUGCCUCCAUGAAAGUCCUCAACAUCUAAUUUAUAAGCUUUACAAGUAUUUGUUUUAUAAGGCUUAGACGCAGAAUUACUGGGGUUUUUAAAUUGUGUCCUGAAAAAGAAAGUAUGGUAUGUGUACAAAACAUUGACGUCCUGUGCAACACUGCUAAGUUCUUUUUUUCCUUAUUAUUUGUGCUGCAUAACAGAAGCCACUAGAAUGUUACUGUCUUGUCUGUCCAUGUGUUAACAGCAUUUCUUGAUGAUGUAUAUAUGGAGUGGUCUUCAAUCAUAGUGAAUUUAAAGAGAAAGUCAAUCAAUCAUAAUGGCAUUUUUAAUAAGAGCAAAAUUAGGACUGGCUGGCCACGUAUUUGUCCUAUGCCCACAUGCUUUCUACUUCAGGCUCUUAUUAUAAAAUUGUUGAUUUGAAGCAUCUGAAAUGGUGAUCAGUUUUUAGCAUCUUUCUUUCAAAAACAAAAUUGCCAUGCCAUCAUCUUUUUAAGAUAACUUUAAAUUAGGAAUUUAAGUAUUUUUAAUUUGCUAAAUUUUAAGGUCAUGUUACAACUAAUUGCUUAGGUCCCAAGCUAUACACACACUCACUAUGUAGCCAAUGGCCCUUAUUUCUUUAAAGAUUUACUGUCCCACCAAAUU